GCAGGCUGUGCCUCUGCCAAGCACCUUGCCCACUGGUGUUUAGGAAGAAAGGCCCAGCAGGUUUCUGGAUACUUUCAAAGGCUGCCGCUCCCGUCCACUUGCCGAAAAGAACAAUCCCAGCCUUGACGUUCCCUUGAACUCCAGGACACGAUGCCGAAGGAAGAAAAGAGCCCUAUUGACAUCAUCAGGGGAAGUGAUGGAAGUAAAAUGGAGUAAGCAGAGCUUCAGAAGACUGCAGGACAACUGGUGUUUGUGGGCUGGCGAGACGGCUGAGAAGCAAGUGGUUGCUGCACAAACCUGACAAGCUGAGUCUGAA